rnacentral:rRNA from 1 species
CGGAUUGAAAUGGGCGGAGCCUGAUGCAGCAACGCCGCGUGCGGGAUGACGGCCUUCGGGUUGUAAACCGCUUUCGCCUGUGACGAAGCGUGAGUGACGGUAAUGGGUAAAGAAGCACCGGCUAACUACGUGCCAGCAGUCGCGGUGAUACGUAGGGUGCGAGCGUUGUCCGGAUUUAUUGGGCGUAAAGGGCUCGUAGGUGGUUGAUCGCGUCGGAAGUGUAAUCUUGGGGCUUAACCCUGAGCGUGCUUUCGAUACGGGUUGACUUGAGGAAGGUAGGGGAGAAUGGAAUUCCUGGUGGAGCGGUGGAAUGCGCAGAUAUCAGGAGGAACACCAGUGGCGAAGGCGGUUCUCUGGGCCUUUCCUGACGCUGAGGAGCGAAAGCGUGGGGAGCGAACAGGAUUAGAUAC